CACCGCCACCGACUUGGGGGAUGGCUGUGAAGGCAUUCUAUGCACUAGAAGAGGGCCAGACUCGCCAUCACCUGGGCUGCUGCAGUGAGGAACUGCUGAGGCUGCGGUCACACUAAACAUGUGAUGAUGGUUUCAAGACGGGGAAUUCCAACGCCGGACAAUUUCCAUGUAUCUUUUGCUGAACUUGCACCCAAUAAAAACACGUUCCUCUGCGCUCAGCAAUGAAAUAUAUACAAAAUGCUCAUCACUCACUCUGCGUAUCCCGUGCGCCACGGCAGCCUGCUGUCCCUCCUCAGCAUCAGCACCGGGCGCGAGGCGUGCUCGGUGGAGUACUGGAGCAGCUCCGGGAGAUCAAGCACAGGGGCCUGACCUUCAGGGAGACAAGACAGAAGACAGCGACCAACUGAAUACCGCCUGACUCCUGAGUAGCCAAGUGUCAGGCAAUGAGGAUCUACCAUCCAGAACAAGAGAAACAGAACUCAGGCCUGUCCUGUCCCCUGUUAACCACGCUAAAGGGAGAAAACAACUACGGUACAAUUCUGAAUUAUUUCUAACUGUAUUUGGUGAAAUGGUAUUAAAAUUGCAUGAGUAAACCAAAUACUUGUCGUUAAGAUUCAGUAACAAACAAUUCACAAAAUUAAACAGGUUAUCGUGUGUUUUUUUUUAUAAUUUGACAAAAGCUAAGACACUUACUUCAAAGAUGACAUACUGAGCUUCUUAAAAACUAUGAAUAAUAACUAUGAUAGAAUAGUUUUAUAAUUCGCUGUGUGUGUGUGCCUCUGUGUGUGCCUCCGUCCUGGGCCCUCAUGCUCUGCCCUCAUGCUGGCCUAGAUCCUGGGCUUCAGGCUCACAGGUCCGCCUUUGGGGGGACUUCCGUGUCGAUCUUGUUUUGUUUAAGCUUUGCCUACAUUAAACACCAAAGUGUGAGUAGCCUCGCCUUAACACAGUUUUCCCUUACCUGAAGCAGGAUCUCAGAGCCCUCAAGGGGCCAGAGGAACAGCCAGCUCUGCUGGGGUUGUGUUUGGUGUUAUCCACCAAGGUAGUAGGGCAUCACUGUGGGAGUCAAGGGCAAGGGCAACAGGGGUCUUGGAAACAGAUGUGUGGGAGAAAUAGACGUCCUUGAACACACACUCUUCAAGGCAGACUUCAAAAAGGUCCACAUGGGGCAAAGAAUCUAUGCCUCUGUACAGGUGAGGGACUGCGUGCGGUAUGGAAGAACGUCCAUGAAUUGAUCGUGAGCUGCGGACUUGACAGACUCUGUGGUGGUUCCAAGUCAAUACAACCUCAUUAGCUUCUUCAUAGGAGACAAAUCAUAUUCAGUUAGAGUUUUUACAAAUAUUGAGCAUUGGUGGUGACUGCCUUAGUCAAGUUGUCCCAAGCCAUGGGUUGUUUAAUGUCUGGGAUUUCACUUCUGAACACAGCGCCUUAGACCGAUCGGCCAUCCUGACGGGAUUUCACGUCUUGUCGUAGUAUGAUGGCUGUUGGCACAAUAUUAUUAAUACAAAAUGCUAAAUGUAAUUUGCUUAAGUAGAACUAAUAUUAUAUUUAGUGGUAUAUCUCUGGCUGCUUGGUGGUGAAGGUGAAGGCACCAAUGUAGCAAGCAGCACGGGAAUAAGGACUUGGAGCCCAGCUUCAGCAGUUUGCAACUCUUGUGCCCCUUACACUGCACAAUCCCAGAGAGUCGCCAUUAUUUACGCAAACCCACACAGCACAACCGACUCCA